rnacentral:rRNA from 1 species
ACUAGAGUAGCACUCGCAUAUCAAUAAGCGGAGGAAAAGAGGGCUAUUACCUACGCUUAGGAUGUUGACGAGACUGUCGAUCUCAUCUAUACAUGACUCUGCGCAUAUCAAUAAGCGGAGGAAAAGAAACUAACAAGGAUUCCCCUAGUAACGGCGAGUGAAGCGGGAAGAGCUCAAAUUUGAAAUCUUAAAGGGUUUCCCUUUACGAAUUGUAGUUUAAAGAAGUGUUUUCUGUUGAGGCUUUGGUAAAAGUUCUUUGGAAUAGGACAUCAUAGAGGGUGAGAAUCCCGUAUUUGACCUUUACUUUCAACUUUGUGAUACACUUUCAAAGAGUCGGAUUGUUUGGGAAUGCAGUCCAAAAUGGGUGGUAAAUUUCAUCUAAAGCUAAAUAUUGGCGAGAGACCGAUAGCGAACAAGUACCGUGAGGGAAAGAUGAAAAGAACUUUGAAAAGAGAGUUAAACAGUACGUGAAAUUGUCAAAAGGGAAGCGUUUGACACCAGUGUUGUUUUUCUGAAAAUCAAUUAAAGAACUGUUUAUGCUAAGUUGUUUAGACUUUAUCAGCUAACUGUUUAGUUUUGAGCUUUUCUUUAAUGCACUUUUCAGUUAACAAGUCAACAUCAAUUUCUUUUGCUGUAAAAAAGCUUGAGGAAGGUGGCUUGAGAUUCGUCUUAAGUGUUUAUAGCCUCUUGCCUAUGCAGUCGGAGAGAUUGAGGUCUGCAACGUAGAUCCUUCGGGGCUAAAUGCAUUUGUGCUAAGUUAUAGCAUUUUAUAGACAACUUGUUGACUAUGAUUUGUCUUGUAGCUUACUCGCUUAUGUUAUUUUACCUACGCUUAGGAUGUUGAUCUCUCACAGUCGAGC